GAAAAAGUAUGGGAUUUCAAGGAAUCAAGCAAUCAAAGGUGGUGAGCCCUCUAACAAGGGUAAAGAGAUUGUGUCUGAAAAUUGGGAAUAGAAGUAUAUUGAACUCCUAGUACUGCUCAGACUAGGCUGUAGAUAGCUGGCUCCAUCGGGGAUUUCCAUUGGAUUGCGUCUUCUUAACUAUUUGAAGGUAGUUGGGACCUAGAUUGAGUCGAACACAUAUGCUUGCCUUCUUGGUAUGUACUAUGGCAUCUCAGUAGUUGUACCUUCACCCACGGUCACUCCGCUGAUGGUUAAAAGUCUUAUGUUUGUGUAUACACAUAAGUAAUGUAAACCACUAAGAUUCAUGUAUGUUAAAAAUCAAAUAUGUAUAUUUGAUUACUGAUGCCAUUAUGGGCUGGCAAACAAGUGACAUUAUUUUAACAUAAUACGAAUGUGUAUAUUAGGUUGCUAUAAAAUGUUACCGAAAUGAUUAUAA
rnacentral:sRNA from 1 species